CAGCCGCCGCGGGAAUACGGAGGGUGCAAGCGUUAAUCGGAAUUACUGGGCGUAAAGCGCACGCAGGCGGUCUGUCAAGUCAGAUGUGAAAUCCCCGGGCUUAACCUGGGAACUGCAUUUGAAACUGGCAGGCUAGAGUCUUGUAGAGGGGGGUAGAAUUCCAGGUGUAGCGGUGAAAUGCGUAGAGAUCUGGAGGAAUACCGGUGGCGAAGGCGGCCCCCUGGACAAAGACUGACGCUCAGGUGCGAAAGCGUGGGGAGCAAACAGGAUUAGAUACCCGAGUAGUCCCUGUCUCUUAUAA
rnacentral:rRNA from 1 species